AAGACCAACGGCCUGCCUCCUCCGCGUUGCAUGCGGGCGUCUGACGGUUACCUGUUCUCUCUCCCGUCGCCUGCCCUCAUCCUCCACAGAAAAAAAGAUCGAGCACCCAUGUCUGCGGUCUGCCUACUCCGCCCAUGCCCACGGCCGCCCCUGACGCAAUAGCUCAGCCCCGCGCGCCCUUGCACACGGAUUCGACCACGCCCAACCUCUCGUGCUCCAACUGCCUACCGCCCAUGGAGGCGCACCCCUUCCGGUGGUGGGAGGACGAGCUGAGAGCUCGUGUCCAUCAAUACUGCAUAUGCAGAGCUGGAGGUGGAUGAGGCCGACGACGAUGAGCCACCCUGGUUCCACCCGCCCCCGCUGCAAUAGCUCCAUCCCGCCCUUGCACACGGACCCGGCCUCCGCUCCCCGCCCUCGCUCCUCGCCCUUCGCCGCGGCUGACGAGGCACGGAUCCUUCCCAGUUCCCACCCGUAAUCCACACUCCACAGCAGCAGCCAACAGCGAGCGGCGGCUGACGAGGCGUUCAAGAUUUAGGUACGAACUCCUGAAUCCAAGUGCUCAGCUGAAAUGGUUGUCCCUGAAUAAGGAUAAGGACCGGUAUGCAUCAGUAGUACAAGCCAUUCAUGCUAAAUGAGAACUUAAGAGCCUGCUAAUUAUUGGAUCAUGAGUGAGAAGAAGGUACCCGGAGUUGUGUUAGUUGUUUAUUUCGGUUAUCCGAUAAAAUUCUAUAGUUAUAAUAAAUACGUUAGAUAGUAUCAUAAGAGUUCUCUUCAUAUGUCAUCUUGGUAUCCAUCUGUAGAUAAGAGCUGGCCUGUUUAGAGCACCAAUGCUAAGUGGGUUGCAGGGUGUAACUUUUGCCCAUGGUUUAUCUUAGCCAGCUUUGGUUGUUCACAAUUUGAUGGAACAAGUAUCUUGUGUUGCCACCAGUACUCUGUCAUGUCUGGCAUGCAUCACUGCCAUAGUGUAUAUCGGUUUUGUUCACUUAUCGGCUUUGCUAAUGAUUCAAUGGACCGUGAGUUACUUGCUUAUUGGUACAAUUUUACAAAAUAAUGGUAAACUCUGUUAGGUCAUUGUUACCAACUGUCUUUGUUGAUGUCUUGUGCAGUAAAAGCCCAGUAAGGGAUCACUACUCCUGUUUCCCUCGAAAAAAAUCACUGUCGCCCUUAGCAAUCCAUAUGAAAAACUUAUUCGCUGACCCAAUACGCAUGCUUGGUUUCUAGGUUUGAUGUUUCUCAGUAUUCCCUUCUAGAGCCGCAGAACAUAAAUUUUUGUUCUUUGUAAUGUCGUGGGUAUCUUCUUCACAGGUGCCUGGAUGGAGUGGACUGUCAAACACACAAGUUUCAACAUUUGGUGAUGUUUACCCUUAAACAGAUGAACAACAGUUUUCUAUUUAAUCUCCUUUUGCUGCUUGAUUUUGUAAUCAAUUAGGUAAUUAGUUUUCUCUUGACUACAUGCAUUUUUAGCCAUAUGAGAGGGUUCUGGUUGAUUUCCGAAUCCUGUUGUAAUUUCAGAAUCCUAUUGUGAAGCAACUAUUCUUUGGUA